GAGUUUGAUCCUGGCUCAGGACGAACGCUGGCGGCGUGCUUAACACAUGCAAGUCGAACGCUGAAGCUCAGCUUUUGUUGGGUGGAUGAGUGGCGAACGGGUGAGUAACACGUGAGUAACCUGCCCCCUUCUUUGGGGAUAACGCCCGGAAACGGGUGCUAAUACUGGAUAUUCACUGGUCUUCGCAUGGGGGUUGGUGGAAAGGGUUUUUCUGGUGGGGGAUGGGCUCGCGGCCUAUCAGCUUGUUGGUGGGGUGAUGGCCUACCAAGGCUUUGACGGGUGGCCGGCCUGAGAGGGUGACCGGUCACAUUGGGACUGAGAUACGGCCCAGACUCCUACGGGAGGCAGCAGUGGGGAAUAUUGCACAAUGGGCGCAAGCCUGAUGCAGCGACGCCGCGUGAGGGAUGGAGGCCUCGGUUGUGA
rnacentral:rRNA from 1 species